rnacentral:rRNA from 1 species
UACGAAGGGGGCUAGCGUUGCUCGGAAUCACUGGGCGUAAAGGGUGCGUAGGCGGGUCUUUAAGUCAGGGGUGAAAUCCUGGAGCUCAACUCCAGAACUGCCUUUGAUACUGGCGACCUUGAGUCCGGGAGAGGUGAGUGGAACUGCGAGUGUAGAGGUGAAAUUCGUAGAUAUUCGCAAGAACACCAGUGGCGAAGGCGGCUCACUGGCCCGGUACUGACGCUGAGGCGCGACAGCGUGGGGAGCAAACAGG